UGCUCAUUCCCAGCUUCUGGCAAACAGAGGCUAGGGAUACCAUUCCUGCCCAUCCUGGCUAAUAGCCAUUGAUGGACCUAUCCUUCAUGAAUUUAUCUAGUUCUUUUUUGAACACUGUUAUAGUCAUGGCCUUAACAUCCUCUGGAAAAGUGUUCCACAGGUUGACUUCAUUGUCAGAGAGAGAGAGAGAA